rnacentral:tRNA from 1 species
GCAUUAGUGGCUCAGCGUCAGAGCUCCGGCCUUGUAAGCCGGCCGUCGGAGGUUAGACUCCUCCCUACUGCU